GCGUAAUUAGUCUAGUGGUUAGUCGCACCAGAAGCGAUAGGGCUGGGUUCGAUUCCCAGAUUACGCA